CCUACGGGUGGCAGCAGUGGGGAAUAUUGCACAAUGGGGGAAACCCUGAUGCAGCGACGCCGCGUGAGUGAAGAAGUAUCUCGGUACGUAACGCUCUAUCAGCAGGGAAGAUAAUGACGGUACCUGACCAAGAAGCCCCGGCUAACUACGUGCCAGCAGCCGCGGUAAUACGUAGGGGGCAAGCGUUAUCCGGAUUUACUGGGUGGAAAGGGUGCGUAGGUGGGUUAGUAAGGUGGCGGUGUAAUGCCGGGGCUCAACCUCGGCGCUACCGCCAAAACUAUUAGACUAGAGUGCAGGAGGGGUAAGUGGAAGUCCGAGUGUAGCGGUGGAAUGCGUAGAGAUUAGGAGGAACAUCAGGGGCGAAGGCGACUUACUGGACUGUAACUGACACUGAGGCACGAAAGCGUGGGGAGCAAACAGGAUUAGAUACCCUUGUAGUC
rnacentral:rRNA from 1 species